rnacentral:rRNA from 1 species
GACGAACGCUGGCGGCGUGCUUAACACAUGCAAGUCGAACGAUGAAGGAGAGCUUGCUCUCCGGAUUAGUGGCGAACGGGUGAGUAACACGUGACUAACCUGCCCCUUUCUCUGGGAUAACGCUCCGAAAGGAGUGCUAAUACCGGAUACGAACUCUGAACACAUGUUCGGAGUUGGAAAGUUUUUCGGAAAGGGAUGGAGUCGCGGCUUAUCAGCGUGUUGGUGAGGUAACGGCUCACCAAGGCGACGACGGGUAGCCGGCCUGAGAGGGCGACCGGCCACACUGGGACUGAGACACGGCCCAGACUCCUACGGGAGGCAGCAGUGGGGAAUAUUGCACAAUGGGCGAAAGCCUGAUGCAGCGACGCCGCGUGAGGGAUGAAGGUCUUCGGAUUGUAAACCUCUUUCAGUAGGGACGAAGCGAAAGUGACGGUACCUAAAGAAGAAGCACCGGCUAACUACGUGCCAGCAGCCGCCGCCG